CUGCAGGUGGAGAGUUGGGUCUGACCGUAGAGCUGCAGGUGGAGAGUUGGGUCUGACCGUAGAGCUGCAGGUGGAGAGUUGGGUCUGACCGUAGAGCUGCAGGUGGAGAGUUGGGUCUGACCGUAGAGCUGCAGGUGGAGUUGGGUCUGACCGUAGAGCUGCAGGUGGAGAGUUGGGUCUGACCGUAGAGCUGCAGGUGGAGAGUUGGGUCUGACCGUAGAGCUGCGAAGUGGAGAGUUGGGUCUGACCGUAGAGCUGCAGGUGGAGAGUUGGGUCUGACCGUAGCGCUGCAGGUGGACUGCUGGAACAUGGAUCCAGGACUCUCUACUAUAUUUGUCAACCAGUGAACCCUGAAUUAUGUCCACAGAAACUGCAAUUCAUCAACUGCUAUUAUUGAAGUUGUUUUUUUUGUCUUUAUAAUAAUAACGGUAAUUAUUCAUCCGAAACAGAUUUCAAUGAUUGAUGUAAAGUUUAUAUGAUUCAAAACAAUGUAUUUUAUCCAUGGUGAUUGAAUGGAUGGCUUGGAAUUAUAAAAAAAUAGCAUUGUCAACAGA